rnacentral:rRNA from 1 species
GACGAACGCUGGCGGCGUGCUUAACACAUGCAAGUCGAACGAUGACGACCGAGCUUGCUCGGUCUGAUUAGUGGCGAACGGGUGAGUAACACGUGAGCAACCUGCCCUUCACUCUGGGAUAACCUCGGGAAAUCGGGGCUAAUACCGGAUAUGAGCUCCUGUCGCAUGGCGGGUGCUGGAAAGUUUUUCGGUGAAGGAUGGGCUCGCGGCCUAUCAGUUUGUUGGUGGGGUAGUGGCUCACCAAGGCGAUGACGGGUAGCCGGCCUGAGAGGGCGACCGGCCACACUGGGACUGAGACACGGCCCAGACUCCUACGGGAGGCAGCAGUGGGGAAUAUUGCACAAUGGGCGAAAGCCUGAUGCAGCGACGCCGCGUGAGGGAUGACGGCCUUCGGGUUGUAAACCUCUUUCAGCAGGGAAGAAGCGAAAGUGACGGUACCUGCAGAAGAAGCGCCGGCUAACUACGUG